AACGAACGCUGGCGGCAUGCCUAACACAUGCAAGUCGAACGAGACCUUCGGGUCUAGUGGCGCACGGGUGCGUAACGCGUGGGAACCUGCCCUUAGGUUCGGAAUAACUCCCCGAAAGGGGUGCUAAUACCGGAUAAUGUCUUCGGACCAAAGAUUUAUCGCCUUUGGAUGGGCCCGCGUUGGAUUAGCUAGUUGGUAGGGUAAAAGCCUACCAAGGCGACGAUCCAUAGCUGGUCUGAGAGGAUGAUCAGCACACUGGGACUGAGACACGGCCCAGACUCCUACGGGAGGCAGCAGUGGGGAAUAUUGGACGAUGGGCGAAAGCCUGAUCCAGCAAUGCCGCGUGAGUGAUGAAGGCCUUAGGGUUGUAAAGCUCUUUUACCCGGGAUGAUAAUGACAGUACCGGGAGAAUAAGCUCCGGCUAACUCCGUG
rnacentral:rRNA from 1 species